UUCAGGUUUUUUUUGUGAGAUUUUUUCAUGGUGUGGGAAUAAGACUUGGAGGUCUAAUACAGCUAGUAUAUAGAUUAGCAUCAGCUUGUCUGUAAGGAUUGAGGCUGAGAAUGGCCAUUGGAGCUGACUAAUAUGGUGACUUCAACUGUGGCUGCAGGAAAUUAUUGUGCAAUACAACUGAAACCAAAAAGAAUGUAAUUCAGACUAUUUUUGUGUAUGUUUUAAAAAAUGUUCAUAUUUUUUUACCAAAAAAGAAUUUAAAAA